UCUUAAGACUUGAACAAAACAACACACAGAUCCAGCAGGAAACAUCUGUCUGCAUCUGUCUCUGUGGCUCAGGAGAUAGAUGGAGGACUUGGAGUCUGGAGGUCGUGGGUUCAAAUCUGAUCAGGACUCAGUGAAUUUUAAAGGUGUCGGUCCUGAAUGAAAGACUCAAGAGGAGAAACACAGUGAAGCACCUGCCAGUAUCGAUCCACAGGACACACACCAUUAUCUUAAAGGUAUUGGUCCAAAGGAAAGACACAUGAUUGAUUUCUGAGAAACAUAGUCAAGUAUCUGUCUCUGUGGCUCAAGAGAUAGAAGGAGGACUUGGAGUCUGGAGGUUGUGGGUUCAAGUCUUACCAUGACUCAGUGACUUUUAAAGUCUAACAUCUGAAAUGAUGAAGAUAAAUACGCCCGGAACACAUCUCAUAGUGUGAAGGUAUCGGUAGUGUAGUGGAUAAGAUUGCGGUUUCCAAACUCUGUAGGUGGUGAGCCUAGGUUCAAAUCCCACUGUGUCUGGUGAUGGAGGAUUGGAAUCUUAUAAGGCAAAUUUUAAAGUGAAAAUCUGAAAUGACGAUGAUAAAUACGCCCGGAACAAAUCUCAAAGUGUGAAGGGACCAGUGGCCAAGUGGAGUUGUCCUGGCAUCUGCAAUACAUGCGCGCUGGUUCAAGUCCAGCUUCUAUGGUAUCGGUACCUGGAACUGCCAGUUCCCCCUGGUGUUUCAUGAGUAACACAAGUACAGGGUUAUGAAAAUCAAGUGUGUCUGAAGUUUUGUGAACAUGUCAGACCCUUUAUUUUUAAAAGUGUUGGAUGACUUAAUGAACUAAAUAUAGUGUACUAACCUAAAUUCAUCAAUGGUCCAUUGUUCCCACCAUGACAUAAGAUUUGAUUUAUUAUAUAUACACAUGGUCAAUCAUAUAUCAGGAUAAUAUGGUUCAAAGUUAAAAGGAGCUCAAGUAAAAUAUGGAGCAUCAGUGAAGUCACUAGAGACACUGUUUACAUGGAUCAUUCAGGGAACAGGAAGUUAUAAAGGAAACAGGAAGUUCAGGGUUCUUUCUCUAAUCUGCACACAGCAAGCAGCAACAGAAAUUUUUCACUCCUUCAAUCUGGUGAAGAAAUGAAAAGAGGAGAUCAUCUCUUUGCUCCCUUCAGAGCACUUCCUGUUGAUAAAUCCAGAGCUACAGAUUCACAGAUAUAAGAAGACCGAGGAGUUCAGAUGAAAAGAAACAAAGCUACAUGGACAGACAGCAUCGUUAACAAAAACAGGCCAAUCAGAGUCCACAUUUUGAAGGUCUCGGUCUGGGACUAGAAGGAAAAAACAUCAAAUAACUUCAGUCCCCGGUUACGACCACAACCUUCCUGGUGUUACGGUCCAACUGUUUGCUGCGGUUCACCAGAGACUUGACCUCAGACUUCAUCUUGCUGAUGUAGAGCCGAGCUACGGUGAACUCCUCCUCCACCGCUGAGCCGCUCCCCCUUUGACGGCGAGCUCCUCCAACGCCUGCAGCACCUCCUUCACCUCCUCCUUGGCCAGCUGGUUCUCCGUUUGCAGCCAGCACAGCUCCUCCUUGGAGGGACGUGGGGUCAGAGCUGAGAGACAAACCUCUUCUUGGUCCAUCUUCUGCUCCCUGAGUUUCUCAACCAGACUCUGUUGGUUGAUCUCAUCAUCCUGUGAAUUAUUACAAGAAAGGGACAUCAACUGUUUGUACAGGUUGCUCCUCCUCGUAUUUGAUCCACUCGUGGCAACAAUAUUAUUUGACUUUUCUUUCACAAAGCUGAACUGUACCUGUAGGUCUGUCUUGAUGAGCGAGGCUCCUGCUUGGACCAGAUAAUGACAGAUAGUUCUUUGAGACAGGGACGCAGCUCAGUGAAGGACCGUCUCCCCCCUGGUCAACAGAGAGAACAGACAUCAACAGUGGCCCCCCUGCUGCUUCUUUUGGUGUCUUGUGUUUAUGAUGGCACAUAUAUCAUCACAUAUAGACUGAACAGAGAUCAGAGCACAGAUACAGACACAGGCAGUUUGAAAGCAUCAUCAUCUACACUCCGUUAACAUUUAAAUAAAGUGUUUAGCAUUUUAAAAACCUCAUGGUUUCAGUUCAAUGUUAGAUGUUUUCAAGCACAAAUAUAAUCUGUACUUACUGCAGUUUUUCUGUAACCACUAAAAACUACUUAAAAGGCCGGGUUGGUGAUUUUCUCCAGAUCUUUUUAAGAUUGUGGUUGAAAUUGUCUUUUGAUCCUGACAAUGCAGGCAAUGAGCUGAGGUCUGCUUCUGGGGUGGGUGCAGACAGAGCACUGAGGGAAUGCUACUUUUAGAAAAUGAUCAAC